rnacentral:rRNA from 1 species
AUUGAACGCUGGCGGCAGGCCUAACACAUGCAAGUCGAGCGGAUGAAGGGAGCUUGCUCCUGGAUUCAGCGGCGGACGGGUGAGUAAUGCCUAGGAAUCUGCCUGGUAGUGGGGUAUAACGUCCGGAAACGGGCGCUAAUACCGCAUACGUCCUGAGGGAGAAAGUGGGGGAUCUUCGGACCUCACGCUAUCAGAUGAGCCUAGGUCGGAUUAGCUAGUUGGUGGGGUAAAGGCCUACCAAGGCGACGAUCCGUAAAUGGUCUGAGAGGAUGAUCAGUCACACUGGAACUGAGACACGGUCCAGACUCCUGCGGGAGGCAGCAGUGGGGAAUAUUAGACAAUGGGCGAGAGCCUGAUCCAGCCAUGCCGAGUGUGUGAAGAAGGUCUUCGGAUUGUAAAGCACUUUAAGUUGGGAGGAAGGGCAGUAAGUUAAUACCUUGCUGUUUUGACGUUAACAACAGAAUAAGCACCGGCUAACUUCGUG